rnacentral:rRNA from 1 species
AUUGAACGCUGGCGGCAGGCCUAACACAUGCAAGUCGAACGAGUGGCGGACGGGUGAGUAAUGUCUGGGAAACUGCCCGAUGGAGGGGGAUAACUACUGGAAACGGUAGCUAAUACCGCAUACCAUCGGAUGUGCCCAGAUGGGAUUAGCUAGCAGUUGGGGUAACGGCUCACCUAGGCGACGAUCCCUAGCUGGUCUGAGAGGAUGACCAGACACACUGUAUAGGACACCCGGCCCAGCGUCAUGAGAGAGGCAGCUGAGGGAACGAUUGCACAGUUGCGCAAAGUCGGCUGCAGCCAUCCCGUGUGUAUGAAGAUGGCCUUCGUGUUGUAAAGUACUUUCAGCGAGGAGACGUUACUCGCAGCAGAGGCACCGGCUAGCUCCGUGCCAGCUGCGGCGUAAUUC